CACUCGCCCACAUUCCCGCUCCCCAGCUGGGCUCCCCUCCCCUGCAAGCCAGUGGGUGGGACCUGGAAACCUCUGCCCAGGGGACAAUGGGGAUAGAGGAGGCAGAUCUGUGACCACUGCUGGCAAGAAUAACGAGAAUAAGAAUAAUAAGAAUAACCAGCCCCGGGUGCACAAGCUCAGCCACUGCCACUUUCCACCUGGCAGGUUGUGGGGCCUAAGGCCUGGGAUGGAAGGUGAAGGGGGAGGCCCGGCCCCUGCUCUGUGGCUGGGCAGGUGGGAGACACAUUUGCGGCUCGAGACAGCCCAGCUCGCUGUUCCAGCCAGAAGGAAAUCAGGCCUGGGGGUGAGUGUGAAGAAGGCUCCGACUCAGACACCAGCGGCCCGGAAGCCCCAGGGGCACGUGGGCUUGUACCAGACACCACCCGGCCGACAGCACUGUCCUCUAGGCAAGAGAGUCACCCACGACCCCAUCAGCAAUCGAGCUCGUGCGUGGCCGUCAUGUUGCUAAAACCCCCAGAUACCUCAGGCUUUCUCUGAAGACUCUGACGUGGUAGGACACUUAGGAAAGAGGUUCACGAGGGAGCAGGGGACACUCACAGCCAGGCCCGGGCAGUCGGGUGGGGAGGACGUGGAGGCCUGGGACCUGGGGAGAGACAAAGCACACGGUGUGACACUUCUCCAAGAACGCAAGUGGCCACUGCUGCCCCCAGGGACUCCGUCAGGAGGAAGCAGGGCCAAGGCCUGGGGGCCGUGGAGGCGGUCACGGUCACAGGGGCCACCUGGUCAAGGGCCGACUCCUUGGCGCCCCCUCUGCUCCUCAGCCACCGUGUUAGGGUCCUAGGGCUGCUGUAACAAAUGACCACACACUUGCUGGCUGGAAACAGCAGAAACCUAUUCUCCACCAGUUCUGGAGGCAGGUGUCUAACACCAAGGGGUCAGGGGUGGUGCCUUCCAAGGGGGCCUCUGUCUCCACAAGGCCUCUCUGUGUGUCUCUGUUCUCUGCUCUUGUGAUGGGGACACCUGUCGUGAGGUUUUGGGCCCACCCCAAAUCCAAGGUGACUUCAUUUGUGGGAUCCUUAACUAAUCACGUCUGCAAAGUCCUGUUUCCAAAACGGCUCACAUUCUGAGAUUCUGGAUGGACACGAGUUUUAGAGGAACACCAUUCAACCCAGGAUGCCCACCAAGAAGUCCAGGAUCAUGCGUGUCCCUCGAGGUUGAUGUUCUGAAGGGGGCGCUGCUGCAGCAGUGACGCAGUUCCAGGUUCAAAGCCACGGCUGGCACUGGAGGUGACUCAGUGGCCAUCGAAUGCUCCCAGGCA
rnacentral:lncRNA from 1 species